rnacentral:rRNA from 1 species
UACGGGGGGGGCAAGCGUUGUUCGGAAUUACUGGGCGUAAAGGGCGCGUAGGCGGCUCGCUAAGUCGGGUGUGAAAACUCUGGGCUCAACCCAGAGCCUGCAUUCGAAACUGACGGGCUAGAGUUCUGGAGGGGAAAGCGGAAUUCCUGGUGUAGCAGUGAAAUGCGUAGAUAUCUGGAGGAACACCGGUGGCGAAGGCGGCAUCCUGGACCGGCAUUGACGCUGAGGAGCGAAAGCCAGGGGAGCAAACGGG